rnacentral:rRNA from 1 species
GACGAACGCUGGCGGCGUGCUUAACACAUGCAAGUCGAACGGAAAGGCCCUGCUUUUGUGGGGUGCUCGAGUGGCGAACGGGUGAGUAACACGUGAGUAACCUGCCCUUGACUUUGGGAUAACUUCAGGAAACUGGGGCUAAUACCGGAUAGGAGCUCCUGCUGCAUGGUGGGGGUUGGAAAGUUUCGGCGGUUGGGGAUGGACUCGCGGCUUAUCAGCUUGUUGGUGGGGUAGUGGCUUACCAAGGCUUUGACGGGUAGCCGGCCUGAGAGGGUGACCGGCGACAUUGGGACUGAGAUACGGCCCAGACUCCUACGGGAGGCAGCAGUGGGGAAGAUUGCACAAUGGGCGGAAGCCUGAUGCAGCAACGCCGCGUGCGGGAUGACGGCCUUCGGGUUGUAAACCGCUUUCGCCUGUGACGAAGCGUGAGUGACGGUAAUGGGUAAAGAAGCACCGGCUAACUACGUG